CGCCGUCUUGCCCUUAAGUUAAAUGACGUAGUAGAAUAGUACUAAAAUUGACGCCGUUUUCCCCUCUCCUCCCCCUUAAUGUUUUCUCGAAACCCUAAAUAAACGCCGUCGCCGCCAUAUGCCCAGACCAACGCCGCUAACAGAGACGACGAGAAAUACGGCUAAAGGAGAGGUUGCGGAGAUCAACGCAAAGCCCAAACCAAUGUUGCCUCGAUUUGAGCAAGCUUCUGCCAGUGACGCGAAAAGUGGGUGAUGGGUUUGACAGCACAGUCCAGGAUUUCGGGGAUGAGGCGGUCGAGUUGUGGUUUGGUGAAUUGGAGGCGUCACGACCCUUAGAGAGAAGGGGAUCGGCGGAGGAAGAGGGUUUUGACGGUGGAGGAAUCGGCGGCGACGACGCCUCCAUUUUCUCUCUCCAUCGAUUUCUGCUGUAGGACUGCCUGUUUCGAUGAAGAUCAUGAUAUGAACGAGCUUGAUAAAUAUUACUUUGUAGAAAGAAAGAAGAAAUUCGUAGCUGCGAAUGGUACAACACCAAAGCGGGAAGUCAAAGGACAUUUUUGCUGAGGAUGGUGGAGGGUCAGCAACAAUAAAACCAUUCGAGACAAGCUAGGCAAUGCUAUUGGUUCAGUGAUGUCGUUAACAUAUUUCAGUUACAAAAAUAGCAAUCAAAGACGUGAAGAAAGCAUCAAAACUGAUUGGAUCAUGCAUUAAUUUAAGCUAAAAAAUGAUAAGUUCCAAGAAUGGGUUUUGCGUAGAAUCCGGGAUGGGAAUAAAAGGAUAAACAAGAAAUUAACUGUAGGAGGCAGUGAGAAUUUGCAGCUGCAAAUUAGUCCCAUGAAUACUGAUGAUGAUGAUCAGUACCUUAGUAGUUGUGGAAGCACUCGUGAUUAGGUACUAGCUGUUGGAUAUAGGUUUAAACCAACUGAUGAAGAACUCUUUUCUGAUUACUUAAGGAGGAAGCUUAAUGGUGAACAGCAAUUGCCAUCCAAUGCAGUCAUUGAUAUGGACAUCUAUGCAUAUGAGCCAUGGUUUCUUUCAUAUGAUAUUCAUGGGUCCAAUAGCAAUAUGGAUAAUGAUGAGCAUGAGCGUAAUAGAUAUUAUUUUGUAAGUCGACAGAAGAAAUGUGUAACUAGUGAUAGAGGGAAGAGGCCCGAUAGAGAUGAAAAAGGGAAGUUUGAUGUUGGAGGAUGUUGGAAGGCCAGCACCGGAGACAAAUACAUUCGAAACGCCCGAAAUUUGAAAGUCAUUGGCUAGAUCAAAACCUUAACAUUUUACAAGUACAAGAGCAAAAAUCGAAAUCGUCGUGAAUGCAUGAAAACUGAUUGGAUUAUGCAUGAGUAUAGUCUUUCAAGAGAUACGGUAUGAGUGCAGUUCCAAAAAUGGGUGGUUUGCCGAAUAAGAGAUAAUAGCAAGAAAAGCAAGGAAGAAAGAAAGCGAAACAAAAAUGAAGGCAGUGACGAAAGUUACACCAAUAUUACUUGUGAGGAAGAAAUAGUAGUGCCUAACAUGGAAUUGGUAACUCCAAACACCAAGAAUGAAGAGCAGCAGCAGGAGGAACGUUUUGCAAAUAUGUCCCACAUGAGUAGUAGUACUGAGCUGAAAUCCAACAAUAACUGUGAAGGAAAAUCUGACAUGGAAUUAGAAAAUGCAAAUGAAGAAUAUUUAAAUUGGAUGGAGUAUAUGUUUUUUGAUGAUCAUGAAGUGCAGUAGAAACAAUUUUCAAAUAUGUCCCACUCCCACUCCCACCAAGAGCUGCUGCAAGAAAAAGGAGUACAAGAGCAGCUGAAACCCAUGGAAAUAGAAACUGCAGAUGAAGAAUAUUUAAAUUGGCUGGAGCUUAUAUGUUUCGAUGAUGAUGAAGAGCAGCAGAAACAAUUUUCAAAUAUGUCCCACUCCCACCAAGAGCUGCUGCAAGAAAAAGGAGUAGAAGAGCAGCUGAAACCCAUGGAAUUGGAAAUUGCAUACACCAAGGAUGGAGAGUAUUUAACUGAGGAGUAGGAGGAGCAUUCGCUGCAAGAAAAAUCGGACAUGGAAUUGGAAACUGCAGACAUGGUGUAUAAAGAUUUGUCCAGGACGUAGAUUUCCCUUUUCUGCAGAAUAAAGAUUUACUUUUAGGGCAGGAUGAAGUAGAAUUAUAUUUGGUCAAUUAUGAUGAAUAACCCCAAUUGUGUGUUUGAAAUAAGCUGUAAAUAAGAGAGUCUCUGAUCUCCAUUGACAUGUAUGACCAAAAUUGUGUUUCUAGAUUGUUAUUCAGCAUUCUUGAUCUGUAAACAUAAAUAUAGUACUUCUGUUCAUUCUCA